rnacentral:rRNA from 1 species
UCCCGCAACGAGCGCAACCCCUAUCCUUAGUUGCCAGCAUUCAGUUGGGCACUCUAGGGAGACUGCCGGUGACAAACCGGAGGAAGGUGGGGAUGACGUCAAAUCAUCAUGCCCCUUAUGAGUUGGGCUACACACGUGCUACAAUGGACGGUACAAAGGGCAGCGAGACCGCGAGGUGGAGCCAAUCCCAUAAAGCCGUUCCCAGUUCGGAUUGCAGGCUGCAACUCGCCUGCAUGAAGUCGGAAUCGCUAGUAAUCGCAGGUCAGCAUACUGCGGUGAAUACGUUCCCGGGUCUUGUACACACCGCCCGUCACACCACGAGAGUUUGCAACACCCGAAGCCGGUGAGUAAC